AAGGAGAAAGCUUGGGCUACUUGUAGUGACUUCUAUUCAAGAUCUGGACUCCAAACCUGGAGUAUAAUUGAACGUGACUACGUGAAGCACUAUAGUUUGAGGAUCGAAGUAAAGGAAGAACUUGUUUUUGGAUCUUUGUGUGGCUGGAUGGCGUACAUCUUGUAUAGUUUAGUUUUGGUUUUGGUUUAUGUACUUUUGGGCUGUAUAAAUAUUUGGAAUUGAAUCGGAUGUAAAUCUAUAUUUUAUGCUUAGAACUGGUUUCCGCUUCGCUUAUGAUAUGUAAUUUUGGAGAAUUGGAUGUAUUAUUUGAGUUGUACCUUGUAAUUUA